GAGAGGCUACAGCUCAGUGGGAGAGCAUCCGCUUGCCAUGCAAAAGGUCGUGGGUUCAAUCCCCGGCAUCUCCUCU
rnacentral:tRNA from 1 species